rnacentral:tRNA from 1 species
GCUCUGGUGGCACAAAAGUUAAGCACUCAGCUGCUAACUGAGAAAUUGGUGGUUCAAACCCACCCAUGGCCU